GACGAACGCUGGCGGCGUGCUUAACACAUGCAAGUCGAACGGAAAGGCCCUGCUUUUGUGGGGUGCUCGAGUGGCGAACGGGUGAGUAACACGUGAGUAACCUGCCCUUGACUUUGGGAUAACUUCAGGAAACUGGGGCUAAUACCGGAUAGGAGCUCCUGCUGCAUGGUGGGGGUUGGAAAGUUUCGGCGGUUGGGGAUGGACUCGCGGCUUAUCAGCUUGUUGGUGGGGUAGUGGCUUACCAAGGCUUUGACGGGUAGCCGGCCUGAGAGGGUGACCGGCCACAUUGGGACUGAGAUACGGCCCAGACUCCUACGGGCGGCAGCAGUGGGGAAUCUAGCACAAUGGGCGGAAGCCUGAUGCAGCAACGCCGCGUGCGGGAUGACGGCCUUCGGGUUGUAAACCGCUUUCGCCUGUGACGAAGCGUGAGUGACGGUAAUGGGUAAAGAAGCACCGGCUAACUACGUG
rnacentral:rRNA from 1 species